UACGGGGGGGGUAAGCGUUGUUCGGAAUUACUGGGCGUAAAGGGCUCGUAGGCGGGCUCUUAAGUCGGUGGUGAAAUCCUGGAGCUCAACUCCAGAACUGCCUCCGAUACUGGGAGUCUUCGAGUCCGGGAGAGGUGAGUGGAACUGCGAGUGUAGAGGUGAAAUUCGUAGAUAUUCGCAAGAACACCAGUGGCGAAGGCGGCUCACUGGCCCGGUACUGACGCUGAGGUGCUAAAGCGUGGGGAGCAAACAGG
rnacentral:rRNA from 1 species